UACGGAGGAUCCAAGCGUUAUCCGGAAUUACUGGGCGUAAAGAGUUGCGUAGGUGGCAUAGUAAGCGAGUAGUGAAAUGAUACGGCUCAACCGUAUGUCCAUUACUUGAACUGCUAAGCUAGAGGACGAGAGAGGUUAUUGGAAUUCCUAGUGUAGGAGUGAAAUUCGUAGAUAUUCGGAAGAACACCAGUGGCGAAGGCGGCUCACUGGCCCGGUACUGACGCUGAGGUGCGAAAGCGUGGGGAGCAAACAGG
rnacentral:rRNA from 1 species